UAAAGAUUCAUCGCUGAUAGAUAGGCAUGCGUUCCAUUAGGCAGUUGGCGGGGUAACGGCCCACCAAACCGACGAUGGAUAGGGGUUCUGAGAGGAAGGUCCCCCACAUUGGUACUGAGACACGGACCAAACUCCUACGGGAGGCAGCAGUGAGGAAUAUUGGUCAAUGGGCGUAAGCCUGAACCAGCCAAGUCGCGUGAGGGAUGAAGGUUCUAUGGAUCGUAAACCUCUUUUAUAAGGGAAUAAAGUGUGGGACGUGUCCUGUUUUGUAUGUACCUUAUGAAUAAGGAUCGGCUAACUCCGUGCCAGCAGCCGCGGUAAUACGGAGGAUCCGAGCGUCAUCCGGAUUUAUUGGGUUUAAAGGGUGCGUAGGCGGCCUUUUAAGUCAGCGGUGAAAGUCUGUGGCUCAACCAUAGAAUUGCCGUUGAAACUGGGAGGCUUGAGUAUGUUUGAGGCAGGCGGAAUGCGUGGUGUAGCGGUGAAAUGCUUAGAUAUCACGCAGAACCCCGAUUGCGAAGGCAGCCUGCCAAGCCAUGACUGACGCUGAUGCACGAAAGCGUGGGGAUCAAACAGGAUUAGAUACCCUGGUAGUCCACGCAGUAAACGAUGAUCACUAGCUGUUUGCGAUACAGUGUAA
rnacentral:rRNA from 1 species